GAAAUACCGAGGGAUGAUCGAGACGGGUCGUUUAGUAGUGAAGUGGUGGCGGAGUCGAUUCGGAGAGUGAUGGUGGAAGAAGAAGGUGAGGUGCUGAGGGAAAAUGCUUGGGCAAUGAGAGAGGUUUUUGGUAACUUGAGUUUGAACAACAAGUAUCUAGAGGAGUUCAAUGAGGUGCUCGAGUCGUGGCCAGCUUCAACGUCUUGAUGAUAAACGUACUCGGGUGGGAGUGUACUUCAAGAAGUGUUGGAACUUGGAAAUGAACGUAGGGUUGGAACUUGGAAAUGAACGUAGGGUUUGAAAUUGUUGUUGAUGUCAAUAAAUAUAUUUCUUGGAAAAUUUGAGAGAAGUAUUGAAAGCCUUAACAUAAAUUUGGUAUGUGCUACAUUAUGAAAGUUUUUAGUUUACAUAUGCACUAAGACCUUUG
rnacentral:lncRNA from 1 species